UUCCAACCUACAGGCGGCCAGGGUUCCCUGCAGCGGCCAGGGGUUCCCUACAGGCAGCUGGGGGUUCCCUACAGGUAGCCGGGGGUUCCCUGCAGUGACCGGGGGUUCCUCACAGGCGGCCAGGGGUUCCCUGCAUGGCCAGGGGUUCCCUACAGGUGGCUGGCGCUUCCCUGCAGGCAUGGCCACCGGCCCUGGGGUGGCCCUCGUGCAUGCUUGUGGCCCCAUUUCCUUUGUAUUCAUGCUUGGCUAUAUGGGAGAUGCAUCGAAAAUAGCUUUAUUUGAAAUACAAGAUGAGGCUUGAACUCUGGUUGGCAAAGAGAGAGGAAGCCUGUUACAAGAGGCGGUUCACAAGCCGUCAUGUGCUUUACGAGUGCCCUUGACCUCACGUAGGCACAAGUAGUCAUUUUAGCAUUAACAGACAUCAUAUAUUUUUAGAAUUUACUUGCAGCAUUUAUAUUUUGAAGUAUACAUGAAAUUUCCUAUUUUAUCAUUCAAUCCCAGGUCAGACAAGAAGGGUAGCUUUAACUGGCUUUUUUAAUAAGAUCACAUUAUCAAGCGAUUGUGCGAAUCCGAUGUUUUAAUGAUUAGCGGGUGGGUGAAAAGUCUGGGUAUGAAAAUAAUUCUCAGUGCUUGCUGCUGGUUGGAAGAAACCAGACCCAGGACUGGCAGGUCUGAGCAGGGGCGCGAGGGCCUCCCCAACGGGGCUCCCGGCCGCCCACAGCCGCUCUGUGGAUUGUUACUUGACGAGGUUUCCUAAAACAGUACUGGUCUGAAGUCCAUGGCCGGUUUUAGAGAAACAGUCCAGGCCGGAGUCCACAGUUCACGUUCACCGAGAAAGCGAGCCACACGGUUCCUGGAGGGCUGACCUUGUGCCGACAUCACAGGCCUUGGGACGGUUCUUAGGGUGCGUGUGGUUGUGUGAACACCCCCCAGCACUCCUUGAUAAUCUCUACACGGGAUGGAAGUACUUUCCAGACAUUCCCAUGUGGGCAGGGGGUUCUGAUCUCCUGAAGGCCCCAGAUGGAGCCCCAACAUGUGCACGUCAGAACUGACAGCUGGUUAGUGAGGACUUAGGAUCAUCUAGGAUUAGUCUAGGCUUUAACUUCCUGUGUGACUCAUGGGUGCAAAAAACCGUGGUGGUAGUUAUGCCCUGACCCGUUUCCCGCUUGUUCUGACUACCAAGGAGGAACCUCGGAAGCUGCACCUGCUCGGCGGGCAGGCUCGACUUUGUUCCUUGCACAAUCUUGUGUUAACGGGGCAGGACCAAUGGAAGAGGUGGCUUCAUUUUCUUUUAAUCUUGCGGGUUUCGAGAUUAGAAAAUGGCAUAUUUGCUCUGACACGUUUGAGAAGACAGAAAUAAAGUUACGUUGGGCAGAAUUUUUUCUUCUUUUAUAAAUUCGUGUUAUUUUCAAAGCAGAGCAUGUUUUGUGAAAACACCUAUGUACAAUUUAAAGAGCAAGAAUAAAAUGAACGAUGGUGUACCUACCGGCCA